ACCUGCCCUAUGAAUAAUUUGCUUUUAAAUGGCUGCGGUACUCUGACCGUGCAAAGGUAGCAUAAUAAUUAGUUUCUUAAUUGGGAACUGGAAUGAAUGGUCGAACGAGAAAAAGACUGUCUCAAUUUAAUUUAAAUUAGAAUUUUAUUUUUAAGUAAAAAAGCUUAAAUGUUCUUAAAAGACGAGAAGACCCUAUAGAGUUUUAUAUAAGUUAUUAUAAUUGAAAGUUAAAGUAUCUAAGAUUUGGUUAUAAUAAUUUAUAUUUGGUUGGGGCGAUUAAAAAAUUUAAUAAACUUUUUUUAAAUUAAACCAUUAAUUUAUGAGUAGGUGAUCCAUAUUUUAUGAUUAAAAGAUUAAAUUA
rnacentral:rRNA from 1 species